rnacentral:lncRNA from 1 species
UAAUUUAUACAAGCAACUAGCUUCUGGAAAACUUGACCUCUGUCCAGCAGAGGACAGAAACAUAUCCAAAGAGACCACCGAAGCAGUGACUGGUACCCAGUGGGACAGAGAUGGAGGGACUAAUUAUAUUUUUGCAGCUGUUAAACCAAUGCUGGUGACAAAUGACUUUGUGGUGGACGGCACAGUAGUUAAUACUGGAGAAAAACUAGCGUGCACUGUGGUUUGUCUGCUUAAGUGCUAUUAACAUUAUAAGCAGGCGUGCUAAGGUGUUUUUUUUCUUCAGGGGUCACUGCUAGUAUGCAGUUUCCCACUGUCCCUGUGCAGUUGGAGCCACAGUUCCCAUCAUGGUGUUGACAGACGAUAGUCCUGUGACUCAUUCCAUGGUAGAGAGAGAUGCUGGGCUCUCUUCUUUCAUGAAACACAUCCUCGUUGUGCGAGUAGAUCCCUUCUGUGCUCUGCAUUAGGUGGCUUUUUGUCCUAGACCCUGAAAGACACAGCAGCCUGGUUUCUCUCUUAUCUGCCUCUAUUAAUGGUUUAUUUCUCUCUCUGACUGCAAACCACUAGUAACAGGUGAAAAUUUUCUCUCUGACUUUACAGGAACAAGCCCACACCACUGUCAUGUGGGGGUUGCUGCCCAUCCAUCAGCUGACUGCGAAGAAUAUCUGUAUUCCAGAAUUACUGUUCUACAACCCAUCGUGCAUGUGAAUCAGAUAUUGCCUGCAAACUCAGAUAGCAUGUAAAAUAUGUAUGAACAAGAUGGUAAGAUCAGCCCUUCUAGUGCUACAGCUCUGGUCCCGAGAGUUUUUUGCAUUCUGCGUAUGACAGCAGUGGCAGUAUCCGGCGAUUCAUGUCUUCGGGGAAGUGGAUAACAGGAGGAAAAAUGUAUAUCGGGGUUGAUGGAAAUUGUCAUGGUUCCACUGACGUCAAAGAGCCAGCUAUCAGUGGCAGGGUUUGCAACACAGGGAGAACAUGGGAACUGUAAACAUAACCCAGGAAUCC